rnacentral:piRNA from 1 species
UGGAGAAUCUGAAAGGAGGAGGUCAG